GGCUUACCAUGCAAGUCGAGGGGCAGCAUUAUUUUAGCUUGCUAAGAUAGAUGGCGACCGGCGCACGGGUGCGUAACGCGUAUGCAACCUGCCUGUAAUUAGGGAAUAACCCGGUGAAAGUCGGACUAAUACCCUAUAUUCUUCUUUCUCCGCAUGGAGGAGGACGGAAAGAUUUAUUGAUUACAGAUGGGCAUGCGUCCCAUUAGCUAGUUGGUAAGGUAACGGCUUACCAAGGCAACGAUGGGUAGGGGGACUGAGAGGUUGACCCCCCACACUGGUACUGAGACACGGACCAGACUCCUACGGGAGGCAGCAGUGAGGAAUAUUGGUCAAUGGGCGAGAGCCUGAACCAGCCAAGUCGCGUGAAGGGCGACGGUUCUAUGGAUUGUAAACUUCUUUUGUAGAGGAAUAACGGCAGCUACGCGUAGCUGAGAUGCAUGUACUCUACGAAUAAGUAUCGGCUAACUCCGUGCCAGCAGCCGCGGUAAUACGGAGGAUACGAGCGUUAUCCGGAAUUAUUGGGUUUAAAGGGUGCGUAGGUGGCGUAUUAAGUCAGUGGUGAAAAGCUGCAGCUCAACUGUAGUCUUGCCGUUGAAACUGAUAUGCUAGAGAGGAGACGAGGUAUGCGGAAUGUGUGGUGUAGCGGUGAAAUGCAUAGAUAUCACACAGAACGCCGAUUGCGAAGGCAGCGUACCAGGCUCCGUCUGACACUGAAGCACGAAAGCGUGGGGAUCAAACAGGAUUAGAUACCCUGGUAGUCCACGCAGUAAACGAUGAAUACUAGAUUUUUGCGAUAUACUGUAAGAGUCUAAGCGAAAGCGAUAAGUAUUCCACCUGGGGAGUACGCCGGCAACGGUGAAAACUCAAAGGAAUUGACGGGGGCCCGCACAAGCGGAGGAACAUGUGGUUUAAUUCGAUGAUACGCGAGGAACCUUACCCGGGAUUGAAAUUUAGAU
rnacentral:rRNA from 1 species